AGAACGAACGCUGGCGGCAGGCCUAACACAUGCAAGUCGAACGCCCCGCAAGGGGAGUGGCAGACGGGUGAGUAACGCGUGGGAACGUGCCCUUCGGUUCGGAAUAACCCGGGGAAACUCGGGCUAAUACCGGAUACGUCCGUAAGGAGAAAGAUUUAUCGCCGAAGGAUCGGCCCGCGUCGGAUUAGCUAGUUGGUGGGGUAAUGGCCCACCAAGGCGACGAUCCGUAGCUGGUCUGAGAGGAUGAUCAGCCACACUGGGACUGAGACACGGCCCAGACUCCUACGGGAGGCAGCAGUGGGGAAUAUUGGACAAUGGGCGAAAGCCUGAUCCAGCCAUGCCGCGUGAGUGAAGAAGGCCUUAGGGUUGUAAAGCUCUUUCAGCGGGGAAGAUAAUGACGGUACCCGCAGAAGAAGCCCGGCUAACGUUCGUGCCAGCAGCCGC
rnacentral:rRNA from 1 species